AAUUCCCUGGGGUGUUUGUCAGCCGGUUCAAGUCCCCGAGCCGAUAUUCAUACCAAACAGGGGAUCUGCCUUCUGGCUAUUGCGCAUGCUCGGCACGACCGAGAAGCCUGCGGUCAGAUCCGAUCCCCGCCUUGAACCGACGGUUCAAGGGCCCAAACCGGCAACGGCAUCUCCGGGGUACCA
rfam:Aeromonas hydrophila subsp. hydrophila ATCC 7966, complete genome.